CAGCCAGGCCUCCGUCAGGACUGGUCGAUGAGGCGGCGGACAUCAGGGAGACUGUAUUCCUAUAUAUGUGUAACAAACCCCUUGCAAGUUAUGUACACGCUUGUGUUGCGUGUGUAAGGUCUGACCAACAUGGACAACGAAGGUAGAAAACAAUUAAUAUUCAGCUCACUAACUAAAACCUGGAGAGGAGUCUCAGGAAAGCAAACACUAAAGACAACAACACUAAAGACAAUUGCAGAAAGGAAUUGAAUAACAACUGUAAAAGUGAAUAUUCCUGCAUUUUUUUCCCAAGGAAUCUAGCAUGUCUCUACUGAUGACUGCAGCGAAUGUGUGGCAUUUCUCACUGCAGAGAGCUCUUCUUGACUUGCACAGCUCUCUCUACAGUCCACAUACUGCAAAUGGAUUCUUCCCUCCCAGCGCUCACUGAAGUGGACCUUCCCGAAGAGGCCCAGUGUCUAUGAUCAGAUGACGAAAAUGUGUACAGCUCCAUUUGGCAGCCUUGAGCUUUCAGCCUCUUCAUCUUGAACUCCCAAAUUCAAAACAUAAUUCUCAUCCCCCCACCCCUACAGUGUUAGCACAUCAGCAAGUAACUUAUUCCUAACUUCAUCCCCCUCGCCUCUUGCUACUAUAAAUCUCUGUCUUUCUAAAGCACUAGGCAUUUUAGAAAUACUUCCUGCAACCCCUGUGUACCAAGCAAAAUCAUAGAGGCUACCAGUACCAUGUUCAAAGCCGUGGUCACAUUUGCCAAAAUAUUUCAGAGUAGAGCAGGACACUGAAAUAAGUAUCUUUUUAAAAAAGGUUUUAGUUUAUUACUUUCAUGGAUAAGCAGUUUUAGCAUUUACUUCCACACCUUCCAUGAGGCAGCUGGUCUCUUUACUGAGGACAAGAGUCCUGGAGCUUCUGGUGCCAAGCUACAAGAACCUCUUUGUUCUCCUCUGUCCAUGACACCAAAGGGCCAUGAUUGGCUCCAGCCAGCUCGCAUUGAUAGUCUAUCAAAAAUAUCAGAAGACAAAUUAUCCUCAACUGACCUGCAGAUGUGGAUAGGAGACUCCCUACAACAAUAAAGAUAAAUAUCUCAUCUGUCAUUUAAGGGGAAAUGGCAUAUGGUUCUUCAAGUCUGAUGAUUCAGACAUAAUAAUUUCCCAGCGAUUAGGAAGACAGAGGCAAAUAAAUUGGGGGCAAAGGGGAAAGGAAGAAAAUUGAAAGCAGAUAAACUCUCUAUUACCUUCCAUUUUAACCCCAAAUCUGUCUUGAUCCAUGUCUAAGAAAAGUAAAGGAACCAAUCACUGUUUGUUACUAGCAAGGCAGCACAGGAUUGGCAAGUGUGUCUGCACACAUGUACACUCCAUUUUAAGCAAAGGUGGCAAGAAGCCAUUAAAGUGUCAGUUUGUUCUGUAUUUCACUUUAUUCUUCUGGCUUAGGUCAGGUACAUCCUUAAUGCACAGUGGGACAAACCACGGAGUAGCCAUGGAUCUCCUGGAAUGCUGGAGUGGGCUGGCUCAGGCACACUGGCUGCCUGCACCUGCAUACUUGCUCUGUCAUAAAGUGUGGGACUGGGAUUCGGCAUGGAAGGGAGCAUAGGCCUCCCCACACAGUUGUUGUCCAGGAUUUCCUUAUCAUUUUCCAGCCCAGAAAGCAUUGAAUUUUGUUGUUUGGGUUUUUUUUUUCUUUGACCUACACCCAUCUUCAGUCAACAGCAAGCUCAUCCAGUCUGUAUUGUGACAGGGAAGGUGAGCUGCCUCGGCUUUCACAGUCCCAGCUGUGUGGGGUUAUAUAGAACAAGCUCCAAAUAUGAGGUUUCACUAUUUAAAAAUCAUAAAAAUUGGGUGGUAGCUAUUCCUCUGAUAGAGGUAGCUGCAGUAAGUUUGUGGGGAGUAACUGCAGGACUCUGUAGUUACUCACUUCAUUAAGUCUUAAUUGUAACGAUUGCAAGGUGCAACCCCAGCACCAUAAUCAGAUCCCGAGGUGACAGAGGCACGGAUAAUCGUAAUGAGCCUUCCUCUGAAAUGAAAGGCCUGCAGUUUUCUCCCCAGAUGCUAAUGGCACAAAGCAGAGUCAGAAAAUGCUGUCAGCAGGAACCAGGAGAAGCUGGGGAUUCAAGGAGACCCCUGGGCUUCAGAGUUUGCAAACAAAUAGUAGGCAGAUGCCAUUAACCAGGGUUGCUGAUGGAAAUUCUGUUUCCUCUUUCUAUUUCUAGCUUGCUGUCAGAAGCAUCCCAAGUAAACCUGGCCUCAUCAGUAUUUUCCUUUCCAUAAAACUCUGGCAAAAUCUACUUCUGUACAGGCAAGAUCAGAAAGAAAGAAAUGGAAGACAGUGAUUGAUCAAUGUGCAGAGAGCAGUGCUGCUCCCUCCUUCCAUGUGCCAGCCCAGGCUCCAUCCACACUGACCCCACCAGCACUGGGUGGUGAGUACUUUCUUGACCCACUGGCCUUUCAUUCAUGGGACCAAAAUGGAGGAUUAACUGUCAGGGCACACCUGCAGCUGAAUGAUGAGUCAGUCCCAAGGGGCUGCUGAGUCAGAACUGAAACAGCCACUGAAGUUGGAAAACGAGCAUUCUUGUACAACCCAGUGCUAAUGUCCAAGCAGGAAAUAGAAAUGAACUUUGGAAUAGAAGUCAACAAUUGCAAAUGAAUAAAGAUGGGAGCAAGGCUACCAGAAGCCCUUCAUUCUGGUGAUGUCAUGGUUCCCAAAUGCCCUUCAGAAAUGCAAAUUGCCUACAAUGUAAUAAAAAGGGCAUUUUCUAGAGUGUGCAGAGCUUGCAUAGUUUAAUUAAGCAUAAACUAGGGUGACUCUUGAAAGGAAAAUGAUGUGGAUUGCAUUCUCUGAGUGACCUUGGAAAAGCACUUAUAUACUUUCUCUACACAGCAAUUAAGUAAACUCACACUUCAUACACUGUCACUUCUAUUCCUUUCCUUUAUUUAGAAAGAUAUUUUUUGUUCUCUCUGAUUCCCUGAUCUCGCAUUGAUUUAUCUCUGUGCUUAGAAAAUGUGAUUUGUUUCCCUCAAGGUAACUAAACAUUUAUCUACAGCCUCACCACCUCUGGUUUUCUAAUCUCUACUUCAAUAUUACUUAUAUUAAACUUCUGGUGCCUGCUUUCCUUGCUUUCCACCAAAUUCCACCUAGGCUACCUCACUGACAUAGCAAAACUGGAAAAAGGAGAUGCCUAUAGAAAUUUCUCAUCCAAUCUUCCCAAAACCAAACUAGCAGCCUUCUGUGAUGGAGUGAUUGCAUCGAUGGGCAAGGGAAGGGCUACAGAUGUCAUCUGUCUGGACUUCUGUAAAGCCUUUGACGUGGUCCCCCACACCAUCCUUCUCUAAAUUAGAGAGAGAUGGAUUCGAUGAGUGGAUUUUUUGGUGGAUGAGGAAUUGGUUCGAUGAUCGCAUCCAGAGGUAGUGGUCAAUGACUCAACGUCUGGAUGAAGAUCAGUGACAAAUGGUGUCCCCCAGGAAUCUAUAUUGGGACCAGUGUUAUUUAAUAUCUUCACCAAUGACAUAGACAAAGCCAUCGACUGCACCCUCAGCAAAUUUGCUGAUGACAUGAAGGUGAGUUGUGCACUUGACACACCUGAAGGAUGGGAUGUCAUCUGUAGGGACCUGAACAAGCUCAAGAAGUGGGCCCAUGGCAAUCCCAUGGGGUUUCAAGACCAAGUGCAAGGUGCUGCAUCUGGGUCAUGGCAACCCCCAGAAUCAGUACAGGCUGUGGGAUGAAGAGAUUGAGAGCAGUCUUGCAGCGAAAGACUUGGGGACACCGGAGGAUAAAAAGCUGGACACGAGCCAACAGUGUGUGCUUGCAACCCAAUUGUAUUCUUGGCUGCGUCAAAAGAAAUGUGACCAGCAGGUUGGGGAAGCUGAUACUCUGCUCUGGUGAGACCCCAUCAGCUCUGUGGUCCCCAGCACAGGAAGGACACUGACCUGUUGGAGUGAGUCCAAAGGAGGGCCACAAAAAUGAUCAAAGGGCUAGAGCACCUUUCCUAUGAAGACAGUGAGAGAGUUGGGGUUGUUCAGUCUGGAGAAGAGAAGGCUCCAGGGAGACCUCAUUGUGUCCUUUCAGUACUUCGAGGGGGCCUAUAAGAAAGAUGGGGACAUCUUAGUAGGGCCUGUAGCAACAGGACAAGGGGUAAUGGUCUUAAACUAAAGGAGGUUAAAUUCAAAGUAGAUGGAAGAAAUUUUUUAAGAGAAGGGUGGUGAAACACCAGACCAGGUUGCCCAGAGAGGUGGUGGAUGUCCCAUCCCUGGAAACAUUCAAGGUCAGGUUGAACAGGGCUCUGAGCAACUUGACGUAGUUGAAGACGUCCCUUCUCAUGGUAGGGGUGUUGGACACCUCGUCACACAGCUAGGGCAAGAAUGGUAAUGGCUUAUGCACAAAUUAGUACUGGGAGACAGAUUAGGGUUUUGCAGCUGUCAUUUGAAAUGCUUUCACAGUAUCAGUUUCUCAUUUUGUGGAGGAUUUAAUAUCAUGUAGCCGGCUGGUUUUUGUCAGAUUUUGAAGAUCAGUUUUGAAGCCCAUUAGAUCAUCAAAGCUGCAGUUUCUCAAAAAGGAAGCUGACUGUAUGGAGAGAAAGAGUUGUUAAGAGGCUGAUUCCAGGUACUAGGAAGAAAAAACAAAAAACCCCAACCACUGUUAGCAGCUUAACUCCCUUUCUUCUGGGUUAGGGUAUGAAAAAGAAGUCUCAGUAAUUCCUGGCUGUGAGUAUUGCUGCCAGGAAGGAUGGUGAUAUCAGCUCAUCUCUGUAGGCCAGCAGUGAAUGGGACUUAAGAGGGGGCAAGCAGAAUUCUUAGAGCUGUUUCUUACACAUAUGCCUUUAGCCUGACCUUUCAAAUAGAUCCUGCUCUCUCGUCCCCUUGAAAAUUUGCAGAGGAAUGACCAUCCCCACAUUGCCCUUUGGGAAUGCUUUUCUCUUGGUAUCUUGCUGUGACUUUCAAGGAGUAAUAGAAACUUUCCAAGGAAGAUUUGAAGAAUGUGGUAACGGGUGGAAAAAAAUUGGUCACUUAGCAAGGGCAAAGAAACCAGGGGAUGGUAGAUGAGGAAAUGGUGCUGAUUUGCAACUGAUGUUUGAGCUAUGACGGAGUUUCAGUGAACCACACCACAAGGGCUGCUGACCCAUAAAAAGGUGAAAUACACGAAAGGAAAGCAGUGAUCCCAGCAACUGCAUCCCAUUAUGGUAUGUCAGACAUGUCUUUGAUUGCACAAACCUAUAAUUAGUUAUAGAGAAUUGCUGAAGAACUAGGAGGAAACCAAAGAAUUAUUCCCUGCACUAGUGACUAGCAGGAUCAGUAGAUAACACUUAAGUAUUGCUUUAAAUAAAAUGUAUUCACAUUUGAUAGAUUUAUUUUUUUCAAUUUUAGAGUAAAUGUCAAUGAUUCAGUAAAAAUUUAACAAAUCUUAAGAGACCCCAGAGCAAAGAUCAGAAAGUCUCAGGAUUAAUUUUAGGACUUGGUUUCUAUUCAUUCAGCAUGUAAGAAACCCACUUAAGUAUCUUAAAAAUUUUUAAAAGUUAUUUUGAAAAUUAAGAUCUCGGUUUUGUGGUAAGAAAGAAAGGAACCGAGCUUAUUAUGAACCCAGAAUCUCAGCAAUAGCCGCAUUACAUAUUUGCUAACACUAGAUGGGGUGUAAGGAAAGAGUGAAGGGGAAAGUUGGUGAACAGCAAAACCUUUGAGGUCUGAACUACUUCAGGCAGAGAAGCAGAAGCUUGCACCUUGUCCAUUCCUCUGGCAGUGUGGAUCUUCACAACGUGGAUAUUUUAACACGCAUGACACGCCACAAUUAGUCUCAUUAACUACAUUUUAUUCAUAUACUGAAAGAGUACAUACAUGUGUCAGCAGCAUAGAUUGCACCAGCUCCUCUUUACUAAAAAAAGCUCAAUGUAUAUACAGCCUUAAAAUGCUCCCGCUGUAGCUAGCACAUAUUAAAUUGAUGCUUAUAUAAACUACUGUUCUUUACAUAGAUUUAUGUAUUUUAGAAUAUAUUAAAAAUUGUCAGUUGGCAUGUUCUGUUUUCUUUUCUCACUGUCUUGAUGGUCUAACAGUUGAAUUAUGGAUAUGAAUAUUUUAUUUACUAUUCAAAACAAUUUCUAUUACAGAAUAUAGGUCAUAGAGACAAUCCUGCUGUUGCAUUUGGAAAGGCAGAAAGUAUUUUUGAUGAUUAGUGAUUUCUGUUGUUAUGGCUGCAUCCUGCAGCUUUUCCUUGGGAGCAGGAAGAGCAGACCAAGGCUCUUUUUGAGAUCCUGCCUUUGUUUAGUCCUGUGAAAAGUACUGUAACCUUUUCUUUAUCAACUGGUGCUUUUUGUCCUCCCUCUUAGCUUCUUUGACCUCCUGUGCAUGAACUCAGCAGAGCAGGCAGGCCAGUGUCUGACUCCAGGCUCUUCCUUGGGCUGUGAGGGAUGCUGAGCUGGGCUUUCUGACCAACCAACAGAGCUACUCAGCAGAAGCGGCAGCCUGCCAGCAGAAUUUAUUUCCCUCACUCUCUUCUCCUGGUCCCGUGUGAAUGAGCUAGACUCCUGUGGAUCACUUUAUCCUCUUUAUUAAGCCAGUCUCUGCAGAGACCAUUUUAAUUUAAUUCAACUUGAUAGCCAAGUCUCAAAAUCCCCUUGGCUCUUGAAAGAGUACAAUCUACUGGUGUUCAAUACACAAGCCCUUUUCCACCAUCCUCUUGCUACCCUUCAAGUUAAAAAUGCCAGGAUCCAAUUUCUCUAAACCAGCCUUCCACUCUAAUGCCCUUUGCUGAGUGACUGGUACUCAUAGUGAGCCCUAAAAGCAAAUGCUGGUGCACUGAGAAAUGCCCUCCUUGUCAGAAUAUCUAACUCCAUUUAAACUUGCAUGCUCAAUAGAAAAGCAACAUGAAAUGCUUUCCCACAACACAGGUUAAAUAAACACUGCUUGCCAGCCAUAUCCAGUUUAAAAUGUAAACUGGUAACAUGGUAAGAAGUUGCAUUCCCUGGCAGGGAAUCUCUUUGUUUUGUUUCUUAAUCCUAGGAGAAGUAUUGCUAAAACAUACUGCAAAUGGUUUGUUUGCAUCUACUGGUCUGAUUGAACCACAGGGACUGACACUGCAUUGGGAUUUGGAGGGCAGCGCUCAAUACUUCAGAGGGCUGGAUGGGCUAGGAUGCCAGUGUAGUUAAAAACAAAACCAGGUUGAGCACCUCUGUAGGAAAAAAAAAUAGCAGGUAAUUUAAGAACAGUGUGAGUUAUGUCUCUGACAGGCCACUAAUAACUUUAUUUCAUAGCAGAGAGGCAAAAGUUGGGGAGGACUGUAAUAUGCCAGGUCACUUGUAGGUUAUGACUCCUCACAGGAGCACUUAUACAUAAUCCCCUUCUGCAGCAUACUUCAUGCCUUGGAUAUCAGAAAGCCUAUGAGAACAUCUCUAUUUGUGAUAAUAGGCCAUAUUUCACAUGUCCAGGGGGAAAAUGUGAAGCUCAUUCAGCAGAGGGACAGUGAAAUAGUCCUGAGUAUGAAGGAAUAAAAGACAGUUUCUUUUGCUCUACCUGCUUUAUGCAAAGCCUCCCUAUAAUCCAAGGCAGCAGUGCAGCAGCAAGACACAAUGAAACAACCCAGAAUGCUAAGUGUUAUGAAAACUUCAAGAAACAUAUUUGUAAUUGAACGAACAAGAGCUCCAAUACACAAUUUUGUUGGACCAGGAUGGUGAAGGGCCUUUCCAGGACAACAGCCCCUUCUGUUAUCUUGAGAGAGACUCUGUGUGCCAGGACUGCCCUACUUAGGAUGACUGAAUGCCUUGGUCUGCAACCACCCAAACAACUAAAGAAGCACAGUCUGUCCACAUCCUCCUGUUUAACCUUCAAUGAAU